rnacentral:rRNA from 1 species
UACGAAGGGAGCUAGCGUUGUUCGGAAUCACUGGGCGUAAAGCGCACGUAGGCGGAUGUGUCAGUCAGGGGUGAAAUCCCGGAGCUCAACUCCAGAACUGCCUUUGAUACUGGCGAGCUUGAGUUCGGGAGAGGUGAGUGGAACUGCGAGUGUAGAGGUGAAAUUCGUAGAUAUUCGCAAGAACACCAGUGGCGAAGGCGGCUCACUGGUCCGGUACUGACGCUGAGGUGCGAAAGCGUGGGGAGCAAACAGGG